rnacentral:rRNA from 1 species
UACAGAGGGUGCGAGCGUUUGUUCGGAAUUAUUGGGCGUAAAGGGCGCGUAGGCGGCGCCACAAGUCACCUGUGAAAACUCUGGGCUCAACCCAGAGCCUGCAGGCGAAACUGUGGUGCUGGAGUAUGGGAGAGGUGCGUGGAAUUCCCGGUGUAGCGGUGAAAUGCGUAGAUAUCGGGAGGAACGACCUGUGGCGAAAGCGGCGCACUGGACCAUAACUGACGCUGGAGGCGCGAAAGCUAGGGGAGCAAACAGG